AUAUAUUUUGUUGUUUUCAUUCCACUGGACAAUAAAAACGUGAUAUACUAAAGGUUUGUGCAUGUAAAAACGUGUGCAAUCUUGACUGUGCACGCAAAAACACGUUGAAGCUUAUCUACGAACAGGAUGCAUGGAGGGUUGCGCCUCUCAAAUAGGCAAAACAGCUCGCGCAACCCAUUUAGC